rnacentral:sRNA from 1 species
UGAUUACAGUGAUGUUGACUCUAUUGUU